rnacentral:rRNA from 1 species
UACGAAGGGGCUAGCGUUGCUCGGAAUCACUGGGCGUAAAGCGCACGUAGGCGGACUCUUAAGUCGGUGGUGAAAUCCUGGAGCUCAACUCCAGAACUGCCUUCGAUACUGAGAGUCUUGAGUCCGGAGAGGUGAGUGGAAUUCCCAGUGUAGCGGUGAAAUGCGUAGAUAUUGGGAGGAACACCAGUGGCGAAGGCGGCUCACUGGACCGGUACUGACGCUGACUGACGCGAAAGCGUGGGAGCA